CGUUUUUUCCGUCGGAGCGGGCGACGGAAGGCGGAGGGCGCGUCGGAGAGCAGCCUCUUCCCGGCAGCGGCGAUGGCGGGCUUGUUCCUCGCAGCGGCAACGACAGGCUUGUUCCUCUCGGCGGCAGCGGCGGGCUUGUCCCUUGCGGCGGUGGUGGCGGGGCACCUGCGUGAGGGAAGGGAAGCAGCUGCAGCAACGGCCGCGUGGGCAAAGAGAACCAGCUUCGGUAGCAGAGGGGCGCAAGAUCUGCUGCCGCAACAGAUGCCUAGGGUUCCACCUUCUCCGACCCCAACCAGCUCUGCCGCAGCCAGCGAGAUCUCGCUCUCACCGUCAACACCAGCAAAGGCCAACCUGUGCUUGGUAAGGCAUAUGGUUACAUCAGAGGUCGGGGUCAUGGACCAAAACCAAAUAGAAGGGCCUACUCAAGCGCAUCAAGCUCAACUCAGCAUGUAGUGGAAGAAUUGGCCUCUACAAAGGAGAUUGUUGCUACACAACAAGCUCAAAUUGAGGCUCAACAAUCUCAACUUGAAGCUCAACAGAAGAAGAUCGAUUGGCUACAGAGUGUCGUGUCUAACUUGGUUGGCAUUUCACCUCCUAUGACGGCACUAGUGCAACAGGGAUAGGUUUCACAACUGAGCGGCCAAUGCCAUCUGACGGAAUAGAUAUGCAACACAUCAAUCUCAACUAUUUUUGUCAUUUUUUAUUCACAGAAAAUACAUGUAGCAUAUUGCUUUUGAUAAAGCAUUCCAAUUUCUGCCAUAGGUUCGCUGAUGUCUAACACUGUACAAAGGAUGUCAAGUUAUCCAAGAUCAUUUGCAAGGAGAUGACCUUGGAGGAGCAGCGGAAAGCAAUACUCGCGCUAAAGACUGAGGAGAGAAAACUAUUGCCUCUGCAUUUCUUGCACAUCUAGUAGACUAUGUUGGAUCUAAAUAAAAACAAAAUUCAGUGUACAAAUGCUAAAUGUAAUGUUUGGAUCAUAUUGGGGUGUACUGAUUGGAUCAUA